AGUGAACGCUGGCGGUAGGCCUAACACAUGCAAGUCGAACGGCAGCACAGUAAGAGCUUGCUCUUACGGGUGGCGAGUGGCGGACGGGUGAGGAAUACAUCGGAAUCUACUUUUUCGUGGGGGAUAACGUAGGGAAACUUACGCUAAUACCGCAUACGACCUACGGGUGAAAGCAGGGGAUCUUCGGACCUUGCGCGAUUGAAUGAGCCGAUGUCGGAUUAGCUAGUUGGUGGGGUAAAGGCCCACCAAGGCGACGAUCCGUAGCUGGUCUGAGAGGAUGAUCAGCCACACUGGAACUGAGACACGGUCCAGACUCCUACGGGAGGCAGCAGUGGGGAAUAUGGGACAAUGGGCGCAAGCCUGAUCCAGCCAUACCGCGUGGGUGAAGAAGGCCUUCGGGUUGUAAAGCCCUUUUGUUGGGAAAGAAAAGCAGCAGGUUAAUACCCCGCUGUUCUGACGGUACCCAAAGAAUAAGCACCGGCUAACUUCGUG
rnacentral:rRNA from 1 species